UCAGAGUGAACGCUGGCGGCAGGCCUAACACAUGCAAGUCGACGGCAGCACAGUGGUAGCAAUACCAUGGGUGGCGAGUGGCGGACGGGUGAGGAAUACAUCGGAAUCUACCUUUUCGUGGGGGAUAACGUAGGGAAACUUACGCUAAUACCGCAUACGACCUUAGGGUGAAAGCGGAGGACCUUCGGGCUUCGCGCGGAUAGAUGAGCCGAUGUCGGAUUAGCUAGUUGGCGGGGUAAAGGCCCACCAAGGCGACGAUCCGUAGCUGGUCUGAGAGGAUGAUCAGCCACACUGGAACUGAGACACGGUCCAGACUCCUACGGGAGGCAGCAGUGGGGAAUAUUGGACAAUGGGCGCAAGCCUGAUCCAGCCAUGCCGCGUGGGUGAAGAAGGCCUUCGGGUUGUAAAGCCCUUUUGUUGGGAAAGAAAAGCAGUCGGUUAAUACCCGAUUGUUCUGACGGUACCCAAAGAAUAAGCACCGGCUAACUUCGUG
rnacentral:rRNA from 1 species